rnacentral:rRNA from 1 species
UACAGAGGGUGCAAACGUUGUUCGGAUUUACUGGGCGUAAAGCGCGUGUAGGCUGCUUCGCAAGUCGGAUGUGAAAGCCCUGGGCCUCAACCCAGGAAGUGCAUUCGAAACUGCAGAGCUGGAGUCCUGGAGAGGAAGGCGGAAUUCUCGGUGUAGAGGUGAAAUUCGUAGAUAUCGAGAGGAACACCGGUGGCGAAGGCGGCCUUCUGGACAGUGACUGACGCUGAGACGCGAAGCUAGGGAGCAAACGGG